AACGAACGCUGGCGGCAUGCCUAACACAUGCAAGUCGAACGAGACCUUCGUGUCUAGUGGCGCACGGGUGCUUAACGCGUGGUAACCUGCCCUUAGGUUCGGAAUAACUCCCCGAAAGGGGUGCUAAUACCGGAUAAUGUCUUCGGACCAAAGAUUUAUCGCCUUUGGAUGGGCCCGCGUUGGAUUCGCUAGUUGGUAGGGUAAAAGCCUACCAAGGCGACGAUCCAUAGCUGGUCUGAGAGGAUGAUCAGCCACACUGGGACAGAGACACGGCCCAGACUCCGACGGGAGGAAGCAGUGGGGAAUAAUGGAGAACGGGAGAAAGACUGAGCAAGCAAGGCCGCGUGAGUGAUGAAGGCCUGAGGGUUGUAAAGCUCGUUUACCAGGGAUGAUAAUGACAGUACCGGGAGAAUAAGCCCCGGCUAACUCCGUG
rnacentral:rRNA from 1 species